CCUACGGGUGGCAGCAGUGGGGAAUAUUGGACAAUGGGCGAAAGCCUGAUCCAGCCAUGCCGCGUGUGUGAAGAAGGCCUUCGGGUUGUAAAGCACUUUCAGUGGGGAAGAAAGCCUUGGGGCUAAUACCCUCGAGGAAGGACAUCACCCACAGAAGAAGCACCGGCUAACUCCGUACCAGCAGCCGCGGUAAUACGGAGGGUGCGAGCGUUAAUCGGAAUUACUGGGCGUAAAGCGCGCGUAGGCGGUCUGAUAAGCCGGUUGUGAAAGCCCCGGGCUCAACCUGGGAACGGCAUCCGGAACUGUCAGGCUAGAGUGCAGGAGAGGAAGGUAGAAUUCCCGGUGUAGCGGUGAAAUGCGUAGAGAUCGGGAGGAAUACCAGUGGCGAAGGCGGCCUUCUGGACUGACACUGACGCUGAGGUGCGAAAGCGUGGGUAGCAAACAGGAUUAGAUACCCCAGUAGUC
rnacentral:rRNA from 1 species